rnacentral:rRNA from 1 species
GAUGAACGCUGGCGGCGUGCCUAAUACAUGCAAGUCGAGCGAACGGACGAGAAGCUUGCUUCUCUGAUGCUAGCGGCGGACGGGUGAGUAACACGUGGAUAACCUACCUAUAAGACUGGGAUAACUUCGGGAAACCGGAGCUAAUACCGGAUGAUAUUUUGAACCGCAUGGUUCAAAAGUGAAAGACGGUCUUGCUGUCACUUAUAGAUGGAUCCGCGCUGCAUUAGCUAGUUGGUAAGGUAACGGCUUACCAAGGCAACGAUGCAUAGCCGACCUGAGAGGGUGAUCGGCCACACUGGAACUGAGACACGGUCCAGACUCCUACGGGAGGCAGCAGUAGGGAAUCUUCCGCAAUGGGCGAAAGCCUGACGGAGCAACGCCGCGUGAGUGAUGAAGGUCUUCGGAUCGUAAAACUCUGUUAUUAGGGAAGAACAUAUGUGUAAGUAACUGUGCACGUCUUGACGGUACCUAAUCAGAAAGCCACGGCUAACUACGUG